UGGGGAAUAUUGCACAAUGGGCGCAAGCCUGAUGCAGCCAUGCCGCGUGUAUGAAGAAGGCCUUCGGGUUGUAAAGUACUUUCAGCGGGGAGGAAGGGAGUAAAGUUAAUACCUUUGCUCAUUGACGUUACCCGCAGAAGAAGCACCGGCUAACUCCGUGCCAGCAGCCGCGGUAAUACGGAGGGUGCAAGCGUUAAUCGGAAUUACUGGGCGUAAAGCGCACGCAGGCGGUUUGUUAAGUCAGAUGUGAAAUCCUCGGGCUCAACCUGGGAUCUGCAUCUGAUACUGGCAAGCUUGAGUCUCGUAGAGGGGGGUAGAAUUCCAGGUGUAGCGGUGAAAUGCGUAGAGAUCUGGAGGAAUACCGGUGGCGAAGGCGGCCCCCUGGACGAAGACUGACGCUCAGGUGCGAAAGCGUGGGGAGCAAACAGG
rnacentral:rRNA from 1 species